UACAGCAAAAGAUUUCCAAAAAUCCUUAUGCAUGUGCAUUGCUGUCCUAGUCAGCACUGCCUUCUCCUUACCCUUUCAUGGGCUACAGUCUCUCUUUUGGCCUCCCCUAAAAGCUCUGGCAGGCCCUCUUUCGUGACCACUUCCCCCCUACUUCCUUUUGUAACUCUACACCUGGACCCCUGAAGUACCGGGUGAGUCUCCUUAGCGUCUUGAACACCACUAACAAUUCAGGACCAGGCUUCCACUGACGGUGAGGCGGGGAAGGGUGCUGAGUACUUUAUGCCGUAUUGUACUUUAUGCUUUUGUGACAUACUCUAUAAAACCCAAAGUUCGGUCUAAGUCGUCUUUGAUCUGCAUGACCUGUAAGUGUUAACAAUGGGGGGACCUGCACCUUAAUAACUUGGCGAAGGGUCCCCUGUGGGGUACACAGGGAUGAGAAUCUAGCCUCACUUACUGAUGGUGAACUGAAGAGUCAGAGGGGCCAAUUGACUUGCUCAACUCAAAGCGGGCAGAGCCUGGUCUUAAACUCAGUUCUUCUGGCUUCAAGUUGAAGGUCAUGUCCACUAACUCCAAGAAUAGGGACUGAGUCUCAGCUCUGACCUUUGGGUUGUGUUAGGAAUCACAGCUUCACAGGGAAUACAUAUAAAUUUAUUUCGUUGCACAAACUUCUGGCAUUUCUAGCAGUCACAGUGACUGAGAGAUAAGCGGGGCUUUUAGGACUCCAACUGGGUGACCCUCAUCUCCCUUGUGACACCUGAGCCUACCUAGGGGAACAUUCCCAUCCAGCUACCCCUGUCAGGGCGGCAUUGAAACCACUGGUUCCUCCAGGACCCAAAGCUGCUUUUCUGGAUGGAAUGUAAACCAUUCCUGCCUGGGGCCCUGCUGAGCCUUGGCAGGAUUCAGUGUGACAUUCAGUUCCAGAUUAAUCCGAGUUGGAACAGUUUUGUCGAAGGUGGAGAGACCUUUGAUUUAUUUAUCUUCUGAAACCCUGAAAUAGCUUUGAAAACACAGCUUUGGAUUUCUGCAAGUAAGAUGUAUGGGCUCAGUGAGUAUUGUUUUUAAAACAGAUAUCCAUACUCAUUAUAGUAACAAAGAUACCUUCCUAUAUUUCUUUAAAGUUUGUUUCUUUCUUUUAGGCUUUGUCCCAGCAAUGUGGUCUGUAAUUCAGGGUCUUGUAGAAGUUCACAGUGUGUGAGGAGUGACGUGUCCAGUCUGCAAUCUGAAUCUUCCCUAUGAAACUUCCACCCAGCGCCCUCCAGUGCUGACUCCCUCACCCACACUCCUGCCUUACAGGGCAGACCAUUUAAAGCACUACCUGUCUCAAUGUUCUGCAUCCAAUUGAGUCCAGAUAUGUAAACCCUGAGUAGAAGAAAUCUACUCCCUCUGGCAACUUUGGAGGGAGCACAAGUGAACUCUCCCGUUUUUGGAGGUGAUUAGUGAGGCCUGAGGGAGAGAUGUACUAGGAAUCAGGAGAUCUGGCUCUGAUCAGCUGUACAAACUGAGAAUUGUGACCUUGUCCAACCCAGGUGGCCAACUCUUAAUUCCGUGAAUGAAGUGUCUCUGUUACUUUGGAAUACUGAUUGAAGAGACAGGGUCUCACUCUGCUGCCUAGGCUAGCAUGCAGUGGUGUAAUCAUAGCACCUUGCAGCCUGAACCUCCUGGGAUCAAGCGAUCUUCCACCUUCAGCCUCCUGAGUAGUUGUCACAGCUCCUCCAAGAUUCCUCUACUGCAGAGCACAGCACCACCUUGCAGGAACUGCCCAGAGGACUGUGAGGUCCAAGAAGCAAGGGGCUGCAUCUUACUCUCCUAGGAGUCUGUAUGGCCCAGCGGUGCGCCUGGGCCAGGCCUCCCUUUCCCUGAGACACAACAGUGUUGAAAUAAGGACAAUUAAUAGUCCUUCAGUGACUUCUAAGUGUUCAAGUGAAAGGAAGGCUCCACAUCUCCCACUUUCAAUCAAAAGCGAGAAACAGGCCGGGCGUGGUGGCUCAAGCCUGUAAUCCCAGCACUUUGGGAGGCCGAGGCGGGUGAAUCACGAGGUCAAGAGAUCGAGACCAUCCUGGUCAACAUGGUGAAACCCCGUCUCUACUAAAAAUACAAAAAAAAAAAAAAAUUAGCUGGACAUGUGGCACGUGUCUGUAAUCCCAGCUACUCAGGAGGCUGAGGCAGGAGAAUUGCCUGAACCCAGGAAGUGGAGGUUGCAGUGAGCCAAGAUUGCGCCAUUGCACUCCAGCCUGGGUAACGAGCGAAACUCCGUCUCAAAAAAAAAAAAAAAAAAAAAAAAGCUAGAAACAAUGAACCUUAUUGAGGAAGGCAUGUCAAAAGUGAAGACAGGCUGAGAGCUAAGCUUUGUGCACCAAACAGCCAAGUUGUGAAUGCAAAAGAAACAUUCUCAAGAAAAUUAAUUUCUUAGAGAAAAUCAUCAUUCAUGCAUUCAGUGAACACAUGAAUGAUAAGGAAAUGAAACAGCCUUGUUGCUGAUACAAAGAAAGUUGAAGUGGUCUGAAUAGAAGAACAAAACAGUCAAAAGCCUAAUCCACAGCAAGGUUCUAACUCUUCAGUUCUAUGGAAGAUGAGAGAGUGAGAAAGUUGCAGAAGAAAAGUUGGAAGCUAGCAUAGGUUGGUUCAUGAGGUUAAAGGAGAGAUGCUGUCUCCAUAACAGAAAAGUACAAGGUGAAGCAGCAGGAGCUGAUGGAGAAGCUGCAGCACAUUAUCCAGAAGCUCUGACUAAGGUCAUUGAUGAAGGCGGUUACACUAAACAACAGAUUUUCAGUGUAGAUAAAACAGUCUUCUGUCAAAAGAAGAUAGCAUCUAGGACUUUCACAGGUAGAGAGAAGUCAAUGCCUAGCUUCAAAGCUUCAAAUGACAGGCUGACUGUCUUGUUAGGGGCUAAUGGAGCUGGCGACUUGAAGUUGAAAUCAACGCUCAUUUAUUAUUCCAAAAAAUCUUAGGGUCCUUCAGAAUUAUGCUAAAUCUCCUCUUUCUGGAAGAACAAAGCCUGGAUGAUGGCAUAUCUGUUUACAGCAUGGUUUAAUGAAUAUUUUAAACACACAAGUGAAGGCUAGUGCUCAGAAAAAAAAAGAUUCUUUUGAAAAUAUUACCGCUCAUUGCCAAGGCAUCUGGUCACCCAAGAGGGCUGAUGGAAAUGUACAAGAAGAUGAAUGUUUCAUGCCCUAACACACCAUCCAUUCUGCAGCCCAUGAAUCAAGGAGUAAUUUUGACUUUUAAGUCUUAUUAUUUAAGGGACAACUUUUGUAAGGCUAUUGGUGUUAUAGAGAGUUAUUCCUCUGAUGGAUUUGGGUAAAUUAAAAAUCUUCUGGAAAUAAUUUACCAUUCUAGAUGCCAUUAAGAACAUUCAUGAUUCAUGAGAGGCGGUCAAAAUAUCAACAUGAACAGGUGUUUGGAAGAAGUUGAUUCCAGCCCUUGGGGAUGACUGAGGGAUGGAGGCUUCAGUGGAGAAUGCACUACAGAUAUGGUGGAAACAGCAAAAGAACUAGAAUCAGAAGUGGAGCCUGAAGAUGCAACUGAAUUGCUGCGAUCUCAUGAUAAAACAUGAACAGAUGAGGAGUUGCUUCUUACAGGUGAGUGAAGAAAGUGGUAUCCUGAGAUGGGAUCUAUUUCAGGUGAAAGUGCUGUGAACAUUGUGAAAUGACAACAAAGAAUUAAUGAUAUUAUAAAUGUAUAUUACAAUAACGUAGUGGGAGAGCUUGAGAGGAUUGACUUCAGUUUUGAAAGAAGUUCUAAUGUGGGCAAAAUACUAUCAAACGGCAUCACAUGCUACAGAGAAAUCUUUCAUGAAAGAUCCAACGGAUGUGGCCAAGCCGCACUGUUGUUUUAUUUUAUGAAAUUGCCAUGGCCACCCCAAGCUUCAGCAACCACUGCCCUGAUCACUCAGGAGCCGUCAACAUCAAGGCAAGACCCUCCACCAGCAAAAAGACCACGAGUCUCUGAAGGCUGCGAUAAUCAUUGGUAUUUCUCAGCAAUGAAGUAUUUUUGAAUUAGGGUAUGUACAUUGCUUUUUUAGACAUAAUGCGAUUGUACACUUAAUGUAGUAUGACAUAACUUUGGUAUGCAGUGGGAAACACACUUGAUGGUGACUUUGCAGUAUUUGCAGACAGUAGUCUGUCACUGAGCCAGCAAUGUCUCCAAGGUAUGCCUGUAUGUAACUGGGGAUUUUUCAAUGGGAUAGGCCCAAUAAGGCAACUGCAUAUUCAUAAUCAAUUAAAUAUCUUCUCUUGUGUGGCUUCCUGUUUGUAUUAUAGAAAUCUCCUUCCUGCAUUCCUUUGAUGGAGCUCCCAAACCACUUCUUUUUUAGAGCGGCCUAAUUCUUGAAUCCCUAUUUUCUCACUCUUUAAAAUUUUUUUGUGCUUUGGUUUAUCUUUUUAACCCUGCAAUGUGUAGCAAAGGGUUCCUGGCACAUACUGAACGAAGAUAUUAGUGAUUCUUCUCUGAUGCUUUCCAAGUUCAGCCAAACCUUGAGGCUCUCCACUCACAUUUUCAAAUGCUAAAUGCUCCUGUGGUGGAGACAGCGGGGGUGCUGGGGUGUGGACACCCCUUGAGGUCUCUUUUUGUUUUUUCCCCUUCAGUCCAGUACCAGAACAUCCCUUCAUUGGCAACUGUCAAGUGGGCCUGCUGAAAACGAUCAAGGCAGUCCUCCCUAGCUCGGGGUCUCGCUUAAUGUUGAGAAGGUAGUGUGUGAGGGAUUUGGAAUCAGAAGCUCUGGAACAACUCCCAGUUUACUCUUAUAAUUACAUACAAAAAAAAAAAAUCAAAACCUCAGUUUAUUUGCGCAAAAAUGGUGGAGUGUUCUUGUCCUACAUGAGGAAUGCACUAAUCCCUCCAGCCAGCAUUCACUGGGGGCGCUGUGCUCCAGGCAGGCUGCCGGUGAGGACUGCAUGCAGGUCUUGCCUUCACACCCGGAGCAGGCUGGAGGGAGUGGUGUGAAAUCCCCCAAUCCCCAAGCUGGGGGCAAAGGCUGUGCUAAGGCAGUGGGACGUGGAGCUGGCCUGGCCUGACCUGAUGACUCAGAGUGGAAAGAUGCUUGCUGCACUGAAGUGUGAGGACCCCAGCAGGAGCGUAAAGGCAACAGCACCUGUGAACAGGAUUUGUAAGCUGCUCUUGGUGAUUUUUGGACAGACACUCUUACUUGCUUUAUUUUUCCCUUUUGACUUCUGCCCCCUUUCCCUAAUAAUAUUUCCAAAUGUGUGGUGCCCACCAGGAUCCUGGGCAGUGCAAUGGGAUGGCUGCUUGGUUUCUGCUGAUCCUCACAGAGCCAGUAACUUCUUCCUCCUGGGUCUGUGGAUCAAUGCCGUUUUCCUGGCCACUAGGCAGAGCGCAGGUCCCCUAAGGAGAGCAGGAGAACAGGGGUUGGAGCUCAUUAUUACAGGGUGCUUGUCUUGCCACCUGUCCCCAGAAUGCCUUAAGUGACAAUGACAUAGGCAUCUGACAACGCAUGUGGUCAUCUCUUUUCAUAAUUUUAAGAUACGAUGGCCCUUCUUUUUCCAACUCCUUUCCCCACUUAGACAGCCAGGAGACCAGAGAACUGCUGUGCUUGUCUUUUACUGAGCCUGACAGGCCUUGUGCCCCAGGGGCUUGGUGUGCCCGUGAAUAAACAGCGUUGGCCUUUGGCCUUCCCGCAGCCUCUCCUUGGGGCCUUUAGGGUUCCCACAGGCCCUCCCCUCCCCUCUGCGUUUUCCAGGAUCCAGCCAGCUGCCAGCACACGUCCGUCCUCCUCCGCACCCGAGGAUCCCCAGGCCCUGCGGUGUUAGCCUGGUGAGGAGUGGGGUUUGGGAUGUGAGCCACAGCUCCUUGUGGCCCCUCCUCCCCCGAAUUGUGAAACUUGAGGAGGCCCCUCAGCUGCUGGCACAGAGUCCAUCUGUGGGAACCUUCUCCAGUCUAUGGGGGAGGCAAGGGUCUCGCCUCAGGGACUUGGUUUAUUUAUCUAGCUGGACUCCAUCCGUUAAUAUCCAGCUUACAGAGGAAGAGGCUUUGCCAGCUAAAUGCAGCCCCAUCCCUUCCUGCAAAGACUGAGAGCAGAAAGAACAGAUAUUUACAGAGGCCUGAGCCCCCCUUGGUGUUGCCUGCAAGGCUGUCAAGCGGGUGGGGCUUCAGGAUCCUGGUCGGGAACCUGGAACCCAGUGCUGGAGACCCUCAAGGUUAGAGCACCUGACCCUCUUCUCAGCCACCUAAAGCCUGUGUUGGUCUCGCUGUGGAUCCCAAGCUCUAAUAUCCAUUCAUCCUCCCAAUCCAAAUUCCCUUUGCUGACAUAAACACCAUCAACAAUGUAGAGAAUGUGUUUCCUCAUCUUUGAAUAUUAACACCCAUCUGUUUAAUUGAGAUCCUUUUUACAUGCAUGGAAGAUGUGCUGCAAAGGAAACUGUGUUUCAUGUUGUAUAAGCCGUAUGUUCUGCAACUGCUGUCAGAUUUCUCAGUUGUUGAAUGGGAUGAGCAAUGGAGCUUCAGACAGAUGCCGUGACCUGCCUAGGCCGGUGGGUGGGGAGCUGGAAAUUCAUACAACCAUGUCUUGUUCACUUGCUUUGUGAAAGAAUCAUGUGAACAGUGACAAAGAGGCUGGGCAGCUGGGCCAGGCAGCAAGGAGAGUGCCUGAGCUGGGGAGCAAUGGCACUGUGCUCCUCUGUACCCUUGAUCUCCGAGGCCAAGCUGACACUAGCCCCUCACAACCCCUUGGGGCUGCUCCUCCUUAGGGAGCAGUUCCUUGGGUUUCCUGUUUGCCUCCUGCUGCUCUUGUGUUGAAGGGCCGCCUCUGGGCAGCUCCCCCAACCCCUGGCAGGAGAGCCAGGCCAUAUCAGGCACGUGGAGCAUGAGGGAGGUGCAGUUGUUUUCACAGGUGCAGAUUCUAGAGGACCCCACGUGGACUCCGUGGCUUCUGCCAUGACACACUCAUGGGAGGACACGGCUCUGCCCGGAAGGGAGAGUUCUGAGCUGGUCCCUGCUGCUCAUCUCUGUGACAUCACCAUGGGUCAGCCCUUCCCUCUCACACAUAUGUUCUGCAAGACCUGCGGUCAAAUAUUUGCUCAAACAUUUGUUGAAUGGGAUGAGCCUUGGAGGUCCAGACAGAUGCUGUAACCUGAGGUGUCAAAUGAGGGAUGUGUGUGAUGGUCUUCUCCAUUUAUACCGUUUUAAGUGCGCUAAGCACUACUUAAAAUAAAAAAGCCAACACUUGUCUUU